UCACUGUCUGAGCUGAAGAAUCA
rnacentral:piRNA from 1 species